UCUCCGUUGGUGAACCAGCGGAGGGAUCAUUACCGAGUUUACAACUCCCAAACCCUUUGUGAACCUUACCUACGUUGCUUCGGCGGGUCGAUCUCUCGUCCCGCCGAGGGCCUGAAACUCUUGUUUUGUUAGUGGUAUUCUCUCUGAGUGACACAAGCAAAUAAAUUAAAACUUUCAACAACGGAUCUCUUGGUUCUGGCAUCGAUGAAGAACGCAGC
rnacentral:misc_RNA from 1 species